UUCUGGCAACUUUGAAGGAAUGGAAAUUACCAAAUAAGAAAGUUUUGAAUAUAUUUGAGCAGAGUGAGGCAGAGGUAGUUAUACCAGUAUGAAGAUGUUGGACAGUUGGCCCCCGAUUGGAGCGUACUAAUACUGCUGGAUCCAACUAGAGAGACGCUAAUUAACAUCUAUUCACGGAGUGCUUAAUUGCUUAUAGUCUAUUGAUAUUGUCCCCAUGAUUUUCCCUGCAUCUCUACCUUCAAGUAGGUAGUGGUUCAGGUUCUUUAUGAAUGUCAGUAUUUUAUUGGCAGGAAUUUGCAGCUAUAUAGUAUCUUGACAGUCUAUACAUUUUUCUCUAUGCUAAAAUUUCAUUUUGUGUUGCAUUAGCAGAAGACAUUGUCUAGAUUGUUUUCACCUGUCAUGGAUACUCGAACAAUGCAAUGGCAAUCUGAGAACUCAACUCAACCCGUUCUUGUAUGGAUGCCUCUUUUUUUCUCCUCACUCAGGACUCAGGAGAGCAGAAGACUGUUGACAAUGAUGAGAAAAUCAGAAUAAAGAGGACAACAGUAUGUACGUCUAUUUUCUUCUUUGGUAUCAACUCUACUUGGCUUCUGGUAAUCGUGUUUGGUACAUUCCUGGCUUUGUUAUAGAUUCAAUAAUAUCGUGGAGAUCCCAGCUUCUUCAAGUCGUCAAGUCAACUAUUCAAAUCAUUGAUCUAUUUUUUCACUUAAGAUAUAUCACGUCUUCAAGUACAUGGAGUUUGCAUGAAUUUAAUUUGUGAUCAAUUGCCUCAAGACUUUAGGGACUGGAAAUACAAUAAAGAGAAGCUUUACUAACUUACUGGCCUUCUAGCGAUAAGUACAAGACCAUUUUAUACGGUAUUCAACACUCUUUUGAGAUAGUUGAUGCUGCAUACAUUUCAUAGAACUUUGAUCUGCAUGGGAAUCACAAAGCAAAAUUUCUGAAUCAUGACGAGGAAUUUGAAGUGAACGAGGCUAAUAGCUAACUUAAUAAGAAGAUGAUGCCAUGCUGACAGUUAACCAGGGAUUGGAGCCUGCAAAAACUGUUUGAUCCAACUAGGUGAAGCACUACAUAGUGACUUCCAUAGGAUGCUUUUCAGUCUAUUGAG
rnacentral:lncRNA from 1 species